GAUGAACGCUGGCGGCGUGCCUAAUACAUGCAAGUCGAGCGAACAGACGAGGAGCUUGCUCCUCUGACGUUAGCGGCGGACGGGUGAGUAACACGUGGAUAACCUACCUAUAAGACUGGGAUAACUUCGGGAAACCGGAGCUAAUACCGGAUAAUAUAUUGAACCGCAUGGUUCAAUAGUGAAAGACGGUUUUGCUGUCACUUAUAGAUGGAUCCGCGCCGCAUUAGCUAGUUGGUAAGGUAACGGCUUACCAAGGCAACGAUGCGUAGCCGACCUGAGAGGGUGGUCGGCCACACUGGAACGGAGACACGGUCCAGACUCCAACGGGAGGCAGCGGUAGGGAAUCUUCCGCAAUGGGCGAGAGCCUGACGGAGCAACGCCGCGUGAGUGAUGAAGGUCUUCGGAUCGUAAAACUCUGUUAUUAGUGAAGAACAAAUGUGUAAGUAACUAGGCACGUCUUGACGGUACCUAAUCAGAAAGCCACGGCUAACUACGUG
rnacentral:rRNA from 1 species